rnacentral:lncRNA from 1 species
UAACUUUCUGAAAAUUUAAUAAUACAAGCUUUUAAAGUGAUGUGUUUCAUUCAAUCAUCCAAAACACACCAUACAUUAACAUCAUGUAACAAAUGAACCAACAUUUUAUUAAUGUGCCACAACUGACAGGUAUAAAAUAUCACAUUGUAUAUUAAAACAGAAAGCAAAAUAUAGGAUUAAAACUUUCUCUUACUGUACACAUCCAAGCAUCUAAACUAUCAUCACAAAAAGAGAGGCCAACAAAUAUUGUUUUGUUUUUAUUCAGACAUUUAAUGGUGUUAAUAACUGUACUAUAUAUUUAUUUAAAGGGCUUCUUCAGUUAUACAUAAAUAUUUGUCACAGUAUUAAUCUACUUGCAUAAAAUCUUGAAAUGCUUGUAUGUAUACAAUAUAAUGAAAAGAUUCUGCUACGGAAAGGACAGUAAAAUAUCAUUCACAAAACAAGCAGAAUGAAAACACAAUCUAUAAAUCAAUCAAAUUUUUUAAAAUAAACUUUUUUCUUUUAAAACAUUCUUUAAUUCAAAUCAUAUUUCCUUUAUAAACUCUGACAAAAGUUCAUAUACAUCUUCAUAUCAAUUACUUUGCUUGGAAACGAAUAAGAGAAAAAUGUUCAAGGUUAAUUCAUUCCAUAAGUAAACCCUGUAUUGAAAAUUUGUCUUAAAUGAUGAUGAAUAAUAAUUUGUUCAAUAGUAAAUGACUUGAGUAUGAACCUUUCAACUAGACAAUAGUCCAAGCACAAAGACUUGAAUAUCUAUACAUUAAUUUAGCUUCAUACAUAUUACAAGCAUAUUUGGUCCUUAAUUCUCACUAGCACUUAAUAUAAACAUAAAGAUCAAAGAAAUGAAAUGAAGAUAAAGACACAGAAGGAAAGAACAGAAAAUACAUAGCAGAAACUCUUAAACUGCACAACAUAAUAGAAAAUAAUUUAAAAUAAUCACAAAGACAGGUUAAAAUACUGACAAAACGUGAACUCAUGAAUAAGCAUAUGUACAAAAAGAAAAGAACUUAAAAUAUAAAAGAACACUAUUAUCUACUUUAUAUAUUUACAAAGUUUACAAAUGUAGCUUUACAUGUAUCACACUGGUGUUUGAUUAUUUACAUCUUUUUACACUAUACAUGUACACUCCUGUGUAUCUACACUAUACAUGUACACUCCUGUGUAUCAUACACAAAACUAACAUUCACAGUCAGACUGGUUCUAGGUAACUUCUUUACAGUUCUCAGAGAAUGACAUUUGAACACACUGUCUCACAGCUUUCUUAUAUAGUUAUCUCCCCUAGAAAAGUUCAUCUGAUGAUGAUAUACAUAGAACCAAUUCAAGUAUCCCAUGACAUAAUAUAUGCCAUAAUGAAAAGCACUUUAAACAUCAAAAACGCAUGCAAUAGUUUACAAAGAAGUAAAUAUAAAUAACUACAUCUUUAGAAAAAGGUUAAUUCAGACUUUCACAUAAAUGAUCAAAAUCUUAAAGGAAAUGUUAAAAAUCCUAGUAUGCAUUCUUUACCUUUAUUGUUUGAACACUAUAUAU